CAACUUGGUCUUAACUUCUCAGAAGCUACUUCAAACAGCAGACUCGGCACAAUGAUGAAAUACUCAGAGCAGACAUUGACUGGUUCUGGAAGCAGAGCGGGAGUGCAUUGCCUGAAGGCUGAAUUGAAUUGUAACACAGCGUGAUCUUGCCAGGAUGGCUAGCUCAGAUGCUUGCUAAAAGCCCCAUCACAUGAGGACCCAAUUUUCUAUUUUCCUGAACUGAUGUCCUGGCCAUGGCACCAUGAUGCAGUCACCAGCAAGAUCCCCAUUUCUUCCACAGCAGGUUCCUGAAAGUGCAAAGAUGUUCUCCAUCCUGGGAGUACUCGCUGACCUAUCCCUGAGGUCAGGGCAUACAAUUCCAACCCUGAUUUCCUGGAACAAACCAUCCAUAAAAGCAGAA